GAUGAACGCUGGCGGCGUGCCUAAUACAUGCAAGUCGAGCGAACGGACGAGAAGCUUGCUUCUCUGAUGUUAGCGGCGGACGGGUGAGUAACACGUGGAUAACCUACCUAUAAGACUGGGAUAACUUCGGAAAACCGGAGCUAAUACCGGAUAAUAUUUUGAACCGCAUGGUUCAAAAGUGAAAGACGGUCUUGCCGUCACUUAUAGAUGGAUCCGCGCUGCAUUAGCUAGUUGGUAAGGUAACGGCUUACCAAGGCAACGAUGCAUAGCCGACCUGAGAGGGUGAUCGGCCACACUGGAACUGAGACACGGUCCAGACUCCUACGGGAGGCAGCAGUAGGGAAUCUUCCGCAAUGGGCGAAAGCCUGACGGAGCAACGCCGCGUGAGUGAUGAAGGUCUUCGGAUCGUAAAACUCUGUUAUUAGGGAAGAACAUAUGUGUAAGUAACUGUGCACAUCUUGACGGUACCUAAUCAGAAAGCCACGGCUAACUACGUGCCAGCAGCCGCGGUAAUACGUAGGUGGCAAGCGUUAUCCGGAAUUAUUGGGCGUAAAGCGCGCGUAGGCGGUUUUUUAAGUCUGAUGUGAAAGCCCACGGCUCAACCGUGGAGGGUCAUUGGAAACUGGAAAACUUGAGUGCAGAAGAGGAAAGUGGAAUUCCAUGUGUAGCGGUGAAAUGCGCAGAGAUAUGGAGGAACACCAGUGGCGAAGGCGACUUUCUGGUCUGUAACUGACGCUGAUGUGCGAAAGCGUGGGGAUCAAACAGGAUUAGAUACCCUGGUAGUCCACGCCGUAAACGAUGAGUGCUAAGUGUUAGGGGGUUUCCGCCCCUUAGUGCUGCAGCUAACGCAUUAAGCACUCCGCCUGGGGAGUACGACCGCAAGGUUGAAACUCAAAGGAAUUGACGGGGACCCGCACAAGCGGUGGAGCAUGUGGUUUAAUUCGAAGCAACGCGAAGAACCUUACCAAAUCUUGACAUCCUUUGACAACUCUAGAGAUAGAGCUUUCCCCUUCGGGGGACAAAGUGACAGGUGGUGCAUGGUUGUCGUCAGCUCGUGUCGUGAGAUGUUGGGUUAAGUCCCGCAACGAGCGCAACCCUUAAGCUUAGUUGCCAUCAUUAAGUUGGGCACUCUAAGUUGACUGCCGGUGACAAACCGGAGGAAGGUGGGGAUGACGUCAAAUCAUCAUGCCCCUUAUGAUUUGGGCUACACACGUGCUACAAUGGACAAUACAAAGGGCAGCGAAACCGCGAGGUCAAGCAAAUCCCAUAAAGUUGUUCUCAGUUCGGAUUGUAGUCUGCAACUCGACUACAUGAAGCUGGAAUCGCUAGUAAUCGUAGAUCAGCAUGCUACGGUGAAUACGUUCCCGGGUCU
rnacentral:rRNA from 1 species